CAGUUGAGCUCCUGCUCUUUGCCUUAUCCAUCUCCAGCCCAGUAACUGGUUUAUGGCCCCCAAAGGUUGUUGCCCACAGUGGGACUAUGAGCCUGACUGCCCUUUUCUGAGGCAGAUGCUCCUUGUGGGUCCGGGUGGGUGGAAGGCGGCUUAGCACGGAUUGAGCUGCUGCUAAUGAACUCACUUUCUAGUGCUGCAGGGCCCUGCUGCCCAGCCUGCUCGUAGGUAGAGACGCUCUGUGUCUCUCUGCCAGGAGAUCAGGGCUGUAAAGUCACCAGCUUUAUCAAGCAUUAGAGGGAAAGAACAAGCCCAGCUUUGGGAUUAGAAAGAGAUGAAAUUCACCCCCUGGCUAACGGCCAGCACUGUGCUUAGGUACUGCGGGGCUGCAGCGGGCCACAAAGGUGACCGUCACCCCUCGUUCUCGCUGCUGGCAGAUUGGAUCCCGUUAUGCAACUGUGAUGCUGAAAGGCAACAUGACACGCAGGGCACUUGUGAGGACCUCCUGAUUCUGCCUUCCAGGCCUGCGGAUCCCCGGGAUCAGCAUGCGGAGCGCUGCUGGCAGCGAGCACACAGCUGAAGGAUUGCGUCCUGCAGGGGCAGGUUGCUGAAUAAUUGUCCGUGUGAAAUAUGAACAUAUUUUUCAAAAGAAUGCCUGAUAAGCAGCUUGCUGGAGUGAAAUCAUUGAACAGAAGGAAUUUACAGCACCUGCAGAGCAUCCUGUACUGUGAAAACAUUCAAGGUCACCGUCACAGAGACAGGUCACAGAACAGAUCCAGGCGGAGAGGACAUGGGCUUGACUGAGCUUCAAGAGCUUCCCAAAGGUGCCCUUUCCCACAGUGCGUUUCCUGAUCCACACCUGGCUAAGUUGGGGAUCAAGCCCAGCUCAGAGGAGCCAGGACGCCUCCGUCCCACGGAUUGGGAGCUUGGGAAGAGCAGGCGGAACAGGUUUUUCUUGGAACAACAGUGGGCCUGGAGGGAGAUGGCAGAGUCACCAGUAAUGAAGAGGAGCAUAGCUGAACAUCCAUCAUCAAAAGAAAGGAGGGAAGAACAGCACUGCUGCCAGAGAAGGGCAGGGUUGCCUUCAAAGGAGAGGAAAUGGUAAUGGGAGAGGUAAAAAACAGUAGAGCACAGGGAGACUGAAUGGCUGAGGAGCAAGAGAGCUCAAUAAUGCUGAAGAAACCAGUCAUUUCUGGAGGAAAUCGUAGAAUCAAAAAAUGCUCAAAUGGGUGCGUGCAGCCUCACCCUUGCUGGUGUCCAUCUACAUAGCCUAAAUCAACACACCAGACACAAGCAGGGCUGCAACUGUGGUACCGAGGGCAUUGUGGAACCCAGAGAGCCUUCAUGGGCACACCAAAAAGAGCCUUUCUGCGGAUACCUCCGAGAGACAGUCGCAGGGUCAGGGUCCUUUUGGGGGCAGGAUAAAGGGAGACAGGAAGACACUCUCAAACCUUGUGUUAGAACAGGGUUUGUGCAUGUAGGGACAUGGGAUAAAAGGCACAGAAGAUGCUCUUUGCCUUGCAGUCGCUGCAGGAGGAGAGGGCGGAAAAGAACAUCAGCUCCUGCACACACAAGUGCUGCAAAAGGAGGGGGGAACAUGGCUGGGAAUGUAGGAAUUCUGUCAGCUAUAAAAAUAGCUGAAAGGAGCUCUGGUCAGGAAAGGGUUGGGACACACAGGGGUUCGGUGCUUUCAGCUCUACA